GCGGACACCAUUUCGUGACUAGGGUUUCUAGAUCUCAUCCUCUGCUCUCACUCUCUCUCUCUCAAUGGCGAUUCGAGAUCUAGGGUUUCUCCCAGAUCGAAUGAUGUACAAUGUUCUAAUGCAAAAAUGGAUUUCGUGGCUUUUAAACACCCUUAAAUCUUUUGGGCGGCCUUUUGAAUUUCAAAAGCCCUAAACAUUUUCAGAUCUGAACAAAAACCAACCACGAAUACACUUUCAGAUCUCACAUCUCCUCCUUGGUUUCUGCGACACUCUAUCUUUGUCCCUUCUCUGGUUCUAGAGAUGACGAUCGUCGUGUCAAGGAAGAGGUAUGCGACGAAGCUGCGGUGGUGGAACCUCUGAAGAUGGACAGUGAUGGCGGCGGUUAGGGUUCGAGCCGUGAAACCAACUUUUUGAGAUUUGCUCUUUGCUUUGGAGAUUCUGUUCAAGGAGAUAUGCAGAAUACUUAAAAAAUAGAUAAGAAGAUUGGAGCUGCAACUGCACAUGAAGUUCGAGCCACGAUUGGGGUGAUGGUGAUGGUUCAUGGUAACGAUACAGGGUUGAUUUCAGACUUCUCAAGUUGUCUACAGGUUCAUAUCCCGUCUGGUGCGAGAUCCCUUUGUUUGGUUUAAAAAUUGUAGAUCAUUCUUUGUCGGAGCUUUAGAAUUUAUAUCCGGUGCCGACAUAAAAACCGCCAUCGAGGUCGCAGGGAGCCAAUGGCUCGGCUCAGACUAUUCGGUUCCGUGGAAGUGGCGAACCGAACGGUUGAGAAAAUCAAGUCAAGUCUGGUCAACCUGGUCGUGUACACUUACUCAGUUGUCGUCCGAAUGAACAAAGCGGUCAGUCUCUGUCAGACAAAUAUAUUAGUAAUUAAAUGCUGAAACUUUUGCUUGCUACUAAUCGAAUGCAGAACACAAAUACGAGAUUGUGAGGAAACUACAAGAGCGAAAGCAUAUAUGCAGAAUGACAGGGGAUGGUCAAAAUGACCCAGAAAUUUGGUGUGAAAUCGAUCAGAGACGAAGAAUUUGAGCUUAUAUCAGCUCUUUAUCUCCAAGUCAGCAUCAUCAGCCAGGCACUCAUUUUCGUUACAAGAUCACGAAGCUGGUUGUUUGUUGAACGCCCUGGGCUUUUACUCCUCACCGCCUUUUUUAUAGUUCAGCUGAUAGAAACACAUAUUGAUACCCGAUACAACAGAUCCGCUUGGUCAUUGGCACUGAUGCCAGCUCAGUUUCACAACAGAUUGAAGUACUCCAAGUUUAUGCAGGCUUUGCCACCAAAUUAGGUGGUGGAUUUGGUCAGAAGGUCAUUACCCCUUGCUCAUCAUCAGAUGAUGACCCAAAUUAGGUGGUGGAUUUGGUCAGAAGGGCAUUACCACUUGCUCACCAGAUGAUGACCCAAAGAGGGAGGGCAUUACCACUUGCUCAGAUUCUGUUGUUAAAAGAACUAACUUAAGAAAAUUGACUUUUCGGUUGAUAUAUUUUGGGGUUACUUAUAGUAUAUGCAAUAAGUAAAUUGGGUUAUAAAAUGUCAAUUUUUAUGUUUACACAGUGUAUUUAGAGCUUACUUAAACAUAUUUUGUAACUUUACUUAAACUUAUUUUGCAACUUUUCGUACUUUUAGACAUCGCCUAGGUCUUGAGUUGAAAGGGACACCACUUGCUUAUAUGUAUAUACUUGCUCUA